GGAGUAGUAUAGUUGAUUAGGACCGAUUGAUGGAGUGGUAGAGAUGGAUAGGACUGAAUAAGGGAGUAGUAUAGUUCAUUAGGACUGAUUGAUGGAGUGGUAGAGAUGGAUAGGACUGAAUGAGGGAGUAGUAUAGUUGAUUAGGACUGAUUGAUGGAGUGGUAGAGGUGGAUAGGACUGAAUGAGGGAGUAGUAUAGUUGAUUAGGACUGAUUGAUGGAGUGGUAGAGAUGGAUAGGACUGAAUGAGGGAGUAGUAUAGUUGAUUAGGACUGAUUGAUGGAGUGGUAGAGGUGGAUAGGACUGAAUGAGGGAGUAGUAUAGUUGAUUAGGACUGAUUGAUGGAGUGGUAGAGAUGGAUAGGACUGCAUGAGGGAGUAGUAUAGUUGAUUAGGACUGAUUGAUGGAGUGGUAGAGAUGGAUAGGACUGAAUGAGGGAGUAGUAUAGUUGAUUAGGACUGAUUGAUGGAGUGGUAGAGGUGGAUAGGACUGAAUGAGGGAGUAGUAUAGUUGAUUAGGACUGAUUGAUGGAGUGGUAGAGAUGGAUAGGACUGAAUGAGGGAGUAGUAUAGUUGAUUAGGACUGAUUGAUGGAGUGGUAGAGGUGGAUAGGACUGAAUGAGGGAGUAGUAUAGUUGAUUAGGACUGAUUGAUGGAGUGGUAGAGAUGGAUAGGACUGAAUGAGGGAGUAGUAUAGUUGAUUAGGACUGAUUGAUGGAGUGGUAGAGGUGGAUAGGACUGAAUGAGGGAGUAGUAUAGUUGAAUCGGACUGAUGGAUGGAGUGGUAGAGAUGGAUAGGACUGAAUGAGGGAGUAGUAUAGUUGAAUCGGACUGAUGGAUGGAGUGGUAGAGAUGGAUAGGACUGAAUGAGGGAGUAGUAUAGUUGAAUCGGACUGAUGGAUGGAGUGGUAGAGAUGGAUAGGACUGAAUGAGGGAGUAGUAUAGUUGAAUCGGACUGAUGGAUGGAGUGGUAGAGAUGGAUAGGACUGAAUGAGGGAGUAGUAUAGUUGAAUCGGACUGAUGGAUGGAGUGGUAGAGAUGGAUAGGACUGAAUGAGGGAGUAGUAUAGUUGAAUCGGACUGAUGGAUGGAGUGGUAGAGAUGGAUAGGACUGAAUGAGGGAGUAGUAUAGUUGAAUCGGACUGAUGGAUGGAGUGGUAGAGAUGGAUAGGACUGAAUGAGGGAGUAGUAUAGUUGAUUAG